rnacentral:misc_RNA from 1 species
AACCAUAGAAACCUGCGGAGUACCUGCGGAAGGAUCAUUACAGAGUUGCAAGACUCCCUAAACCAUUGUGAACGUUACCUAAACCGUUGCUUCGGCGGGCGGCCCGGGUCCUUCCCGGCGCCCAUCGGCCCUCGCGGGCGCCCGCCGGAGGUAAACCAAACUAUUGCAUUGUAUGGCCUCUCUGAGUCUUCUGUACUGAAUAAGUCAAAACUUUUAACAACGGAUCUCAGAUCGGAAGAG